UACGAGGGGUGCAAGCGUUGCUCGGAAUUAUUGGGCGUAAAGGGCAAGUAGGUGGUCUCAUUUGUCUGGGGUGAAAGCCUUGAGCUUAACUCAAGAAGUGCCCCAGAAACGGUGAGACUCGAGUACUGGAGAGGGUCGUGGAAUUCCCGGUGUAGCGGUGAAAUGCGUAGAGAUCGGGAGGAACACCAGCGGCGAAGGCGGCGACCUGGACAGUCACUGACACUCAACUGCGAAAGCGUGGGGAGCAAACAGG
rnacentral:rRNA from 1 species